AACCUGGUUGAUCCUGCCAGUAGUCAUAUGCUUGUCUCAAAGAUUAAGCCAUGCAUGUCUCAGUAUAAGCUUUUGAAUGGCAAAACUGCGAAUGGCUCAUUAAAACAGUUAUAUUCUACUCGGUUUUGAUUCCUAUACGGAUAACUGUGCUAAUUGUAGAGCUAAUACGUGCGUAAAUCGCCGACUUCUCGGAAGGCGAGUGCUUAUUAGAUACAGAACCAAUCCUGGCAACAGGACUUCGGUUGACUCAUAAUAAACGAACGGAGCGUAUGGCUUGUGCCGGCGCUGAACCGAUCGAGUUUCUGACCUAUCAGCUUUCGUUGGUGGGGUAUUGGCCCACCAUGGCUUUGACGGGUAACGGAGAAUUAGGGUUCGAUUCCGGAGAGGGAGCCCGAGAAACGGCUACCACAUCUAAGGAUAGCAGCAGGCGCGCAAAUUACCCAAUGCCGAUACGGCGAGGUAGUGACAAGAAAUAACAACGCAAGCCCGUUGGGUUUUUGUAUUUGGAAUGAGUAGAAUUUAAAUCUCUUUACGAAUCAAUUGGAGGGCAAGUCUGGUGCCAGCAGCCGCGGUAAUUCCAGCUCCAAUAGCGUAUAUUAAAGUGUUGCGGUUAAAAAGCUCGUAGUUGGAUUUCUGUUGAGGUUGGGUGGUCCCUUCUCCGAAGGCGUAUUUGCUUCGAUCUCGGCAUCCUUCUGAAAGACUGUGCUGCCCUUCAUUGAGUGGUCAGGAUUUCAGGACUUUUACUUUGAGGAAAUUAGAGUGUUUACGGCAGGCAGGCGCCUUGAAUAUAUUAGCAUGGAAUAAUGAUAUAAGACCUUGGUUUUAUUUUGUUGGUUUCUAAAGCUAAGGUAAUGAUUAACAGGGAUAUUUGGGGGUAUUUGUAUUACACGGUCAGAGGUGGAAUUCUUGGAUUCGUGUACGACAAACUACUGCGAAAGCAUUUACCAAGGAUGUUUUCAUUGAUCAAGAACGAAAGUGUGGGGAUCGAAGAUGAUUAGAUACCGUCGUAGUCUACACCAUAAACUAUGCCGACUAGAGAUUGGAGGUUGUCUUCUUAUAACUCCUUCAGCACCUUUCGAGAAAUCAAAGUUUUUGGGUUCCGGGGGGAGUAUGGUCGCAAGGCUGGAACUUAAAGGAAUUGACGGAAGGGCACCACCAGGAGUGGAGCCUGCGGCUUAAUUUGACUCAACACGGGAAAACUUACCAGGUCCAGACAUAACGAGGAUUGACAGAUUGAUAGCUCUUUCUUGAUUUUAUGGGUGGUGGUGCAUGGCCGUUCUUAGUUGGUGGAGUGAUUUGUCUGGUUAAUUCCGUUAACGAACGAGACCUUUAUCUGCUAAAUAGCCAAAUGUAUCUUCGGAUACAUUGCCGGCUUCUUAGAGAGACUUUGUGUGUUUAAUGCAAGGAAGUUAGAGGCAAUAACAGGUCUGUGAUGCCCUUAGAUGUUCUGGGCUGCACGCGCGCUACACUGAUGCGUUCAACGAGUUUCCCUUAGCCGGUAGGCUCGGGUAAUCUUUUGAACACGCAUCGUGAUGGGGAUAGAUUAUUGUAAUUAUUAAUCUUCAACGAGGAAUUCCUAGUAGGUGCAAGUCAUCAGCUUGCAUCGAUUACGUCCCUGCCCUUUGUACACACCGCCCGUCGCUGCUACCGAUUGGUUCUACUGGUGAGUUGUCGGGACCGAGCAAUGAUUCAGUUCCUGAAACGUUGCUUGGAAACUUCCGCAAACCCUUGGAACUAGAGGAAGCAGAAGUCGUAACAAGGUUUCCGUAGGUGAACCUGCAGAAGGAUC
rnacentral:rRNA from 1 species